UGUCAGUUAUCAGAGUGAAGAUGCCUUCCUAGAGACAAGUUGCUCUUCAAUAGGACUCCUGGACUCUGUGGAAGCUUCCUUUCUUUUACAACCAACUCUCAGAGGGGUUAUUAGAGAAGGGAGAAGGAGGGUGAGGAAAAUGGAGAAGAGAGAGGCAGAGGCAAGAGGAGGAGGGAGAAAGGUGUGCUUGAUCUGGGACACAUAGGAUGUAUUUAAAUAGAAGAUGCAAAGAAACCACUUCCGAGGAUAAUGCUGCAUGCCUCAGAUAUAACCACUGUGAUCAUCAUCAACAGCAGAGAUAGACAUCUCCCAGACUUCUGUUUUGAAAUGGACGGAUACACAAAUCUUUUAAAUAAAGAAAUAAACUUUCUUGUA